rnacentral:rRNA from 1 species
CAACUCUUCUGAAGUUGACCUCGAAUCAGGUAGGAAUACCCGCUGAACUUAAGCAUAUCAAUAAGCGGAGGAAAAGAAACCAACAGGGAUUGCCCCAGUAACGGCGAGUGAAGCGGCAACAGCUCAAAUUUGAAAUCUGGCUCUCGGGCCCGAGUUGUAAUUUGUAGAGGAUGCUUUUGGUGAGGUGCCUUCCGAGUUCCCUGGAACGGGACGCCAUAGAGGGUGAGAGCCCCGUCUGGUUGGACGCCGAACCUCUGUAAAGCUCCUUCGACGAGUCGAGUAGUUUGGGAAUGCUGCUCUAAAUGGGAGGUAUAUGUCUUCUAAAGCUAAAUACCGGCCAGAGACCGAUAGCGCACAAGUAGAGUGAUCGAAAGAUGAAAAGAACUUUGAAAAGAGAGUUAAACAGUACGUGAAAUUGUUGAAAGGGAAGCGCUUGUGACCAGACUUGGGCUUGGUUGAUCAUCCGGGGUUCUCCCCGGUGCACUCUUCCGGCCCAGGCCAGCAUCAGUUCGCCCUGGGGGACAAAGGCAUCGGGAACGUGGCUCUCUCCGGGGAGUGUUAUAGCCCGUUGCGUAAUACCCUGCGGCGGACUGAGGUUCGCGCAUUCGCAAGGAUGCUGGCGUAAUGGUCAUCAGUGACCCGUCUUGAAACACGGACCAAGG